CGCCGGACCUGACUGCUAUCGGAUUGAUACUAAGCCAUGCGAGUCAUUGUAGCAAUACAAGGCAUACGGCUCAGUAACGCGUAGUCAACCUGAGCUAUGGACGGGAAUAACCUCGGGAAACUGAGAAUAAUGCCCGAUAGAACAUUAUGCCUGGAAUGGUUUAUGUUCCAAAUGAUUUAUCGCCGUAGGAUGGGACUGCGGCCUAUCAGUUUGUUGGUGAGGUAAUGGCCCACCAAGACUAUUACAGGUACGGGCUCUGAGAGGAGUAGCCCGGAGAUGGGUACUGAGACACGGACCCAGGCCCUAUGGGGCGCAGCAGGCGAGAAAACUUUGCAAUGUGCGAAAGCACGACAAGGUUAAUCCGAGUGGUUUCUGCUAAAGAAACCUUUUGUCAGUCCUAGAAACACUGAUGAAUAAGGGGUGGGCAAGUUCUGGUGUCAGCA
rnacentral:rRNA from 1 species